CUCGCAUCUCUCAUAGUCUCGUUCGAUUCCCACUCCGGACCUCUCCUCUCUCGCCCACGACCUAUCCGCCGCCAUCGCUGUCCUUCCCUUUGGCUCGCAGAUCCUCGUGCCUCAGUCCUCGGCCGCCCUCUCCUUUUCCUGUCUUCUCUCAUGACGGCAACGAGCUCCACCUCAGGCCGGUUGCGGCACCACACCACGGGAGCCAGUACCUGAUUUUUCCGACACAGUAUCUGUAGUCCUUGGGAGUGUUGCUGCCAGAUCCAACCUCCCCGAGCACCCGGUCAGAGGCCCUGCUUGGAUUCGGUGUAAGUUUAUACAACCGGAUUUAAAUUAUCAGCCGCAGUGUAUUUUCCGUCUGGAAUAAAAACGAGGGCUGGAGGUCUGUAUCGAUUACGGAGGUAUUUGGGAGGCAACCGACAAUCCAAGCGGGGCCUUAUAUGUGGAUGGCAACAGAAGAUGAUCAAUAACUUUCAAGAAAUCUGAACCUGAAGUUUUCAAAGUUGAGUGCAAUCUUAUUCUCGUUUUCUUUUGUAGUUUAGGACUAAAACUGACUAGGAGGCAACUGAAUGUGCUUACAUUUUCAGAGCAGCCAUUGUCAGGUCUUAUCAUAGAGCCAAUCGACAGUGAGCACUUGUGCCGUUGUGCGUGGGAAACCUUCAAGUUCUGUUGAGUUCAUGUGAUUUCUUACCCAACUCAUCCCUGCAGAAACGCCCUGGACUAAUUGCAUAACUGUUUUUGUUUUAGAGGUGGCAUCAGACAAGAGGUUGUUCGUCUUAUCAUAAAGUGCCACAAGAAUUAAAGCCCAACAGAAACUGAAUUUGUUUCCCAUUUACCCAAAUUGAAAUUAUACUGCAGCAGCUUCUCCGAGAGCUCUCGGAUCGACAGGUGAAGGUACAAGAUGGUGUCCAUUCAACGAAGGGGUGGCAUUUCGAUCCAUGGUGCCACUGCACAUUCAGCUCCAUCUCCAUCUGUCUUGGCUGGCGAUCAUCCCUUCUUCCUAGCCGCCAGCCUCCGUGAUAAUUUUAGAUUGUUGGAUUGUGAAGCGAGAUUCUAGCCAUCAGCGGAGAGAUGAUUUAUUUGGGAUGAAAGGAUCUCCCAGUCUUGCAAGUAAGCUAUCUUAAUUUGUCUGAGAUGUGAUCUCCCUAUCAUUCAAAUAAGCUAUCUUACUUUUGUCCUUCUAUGUUUUGCCUAUCUAUCUUACCACUGUUGGGGUGAUCUGUGCCGGCUCUAUGAUUUGCUGAACAUCUCUUAUCUGUCUACGUAUUAUUGGGUGGAUUAACAAUGUUGUAAUGCUUAACUCAUUUGAAACUUUAUGCCCCUCCAUAUUUUAAGCACUGCCUACAAGGUUAUUAUGUUCAUCUAAAAUAAGCAAGCAAUCUUAUAAUCUUCAUUGUAUAUUAUAAGACUCCCUCGUGCCAUUCUUAGUUGAAUCGAACAUCAUCUGGUUUAGACCAUAAUCUUGAUGCAAUAGAGCUGAGAGCAUAAAAAUCAAUUAAGCAACCAAAAACAUAAACAUAUGCAUACAGCCAUCAAUGUAAAUGUGUACUAUAUGAGUUCUGCCAACUAGCAAAUAGUAGGAGAUCAGGGUGUAUGUUUGAAAAAAUGAUAAUUAUUUUUUUGUUCCAAAGUUGCAAUGGAAGACCACAAACCAACAAACAUGUAAACAUUAACAUGAAUAUCCUUGAUAUGUAAUCUGCAUUCUCUGGAUACUCCUACUUGAUUACGACAUGAGCAUAACUUAGGUUUGGCUUGGCACUUGUGAAACAUUUUCUAUAUAUCUUUGACUUUCUCAAGUGUAAGAAAUAAUGUUUGAUGCUACUUCUAGAGUUUGCACCUUUUGGAAAUGGAUCUCGACUGAACAAAAUCUCAGUCCAUGUAAAAUUAGCAAAAGUUUACUUCUAUGUGGAAAUUAGUAUAAUGAUCAUUGAGCGGAGGUAUGUGCAUACAUCUUAUAAUGAAAUGUACGCUUGGAAUUAAGAUUCGGCAAUUGUGGACUUGUCAUGAAGUAGUGUACUACGCGAAACCAUAGUUUUCCAUCCAGCUGCUUGGCUUUAGUUCAUCCUUACAAUGAUGUUUGUUCCCGUUUCCUGCAAAAUCAUGUUUCAGAUUACUGUCAAUCUGCCAUUCCUCCAAUCAGUGAAGGCCAGCUGCUGCUCCUGAUCAUGGUUUAACUUUCAUAUGUGUUUUGAACUAUAUUCAUACUCCAUGUGCUUUGGAGUAUAUUCAUAGUUCAGUAGCGAGUAUAAAUCAACUCGAUGUACAGAUGGACAUAUACAAUUAUAAAAAAGAAUAGACCUCCCAGCUCAAUAUUUUUCUCUUUUGUGUUAUUACUUACUACUGGUUGGAGUACCUUGUAUUUCGUAAGGAAAGGGAAAACUUCUAUGAAGUAACUUGGUUUAGUCCAUUUUAUAUCUCUAUAGUUUUAUGCUUACUUUCAUUUCCAUUUAUUUACAAGCUUACUGAUUAUUGUAUCGUUGAAAAGUAUGGGCAAGGUAACAUGGUCCAUCAUGGUGGAAGCGUUGCCAUUCUCUCCACGACAUACUAAUGUUAUGCAAGUUACCAAUUUGAGAAACAUCUUAUUCUAUUUUUUAAUUGGAGGUAAUGGAAGAAAUUAUGCCAUAUAUGCAAUAUUUAAUUGUCAUGACCUUGAUGUAUGAAGUGCGAACUUGCUUACAAUCUGAGUGUUGUCCAUCCAACCGUAGGGUGAGAGUUAACAAAAUUUUGGGGUCUUGAAUUACAAAGACUGUUUCUUAUGUAUAUAUCCUUGUUCUAUUGAUACACAUAAUAUUGGCUGAUCAAAAUAAUUGUCAAGUAUGAAUGGUAUUGUUGUCUGUAGAGCAGUGGUGUUAUGCUGUUACGACUCUGCACUCCUUUACUAUCAACGACUAGAAUUUGCCCUUCUGUUAAUCUCUAAUACAUAUAUCAUCUUUACAAACUUAUCCCGCAUGUUUUGGGCCUCUAUACUUACAAAUGUUCCUAUCAUUCUACUGGAAAAAUAUACGGGCGCGGCAACGCGCGCCAUCAUGGUCUAGUAAAUGCAUUAAAGAAAAGCGCUUGUUGGGAGACAACCCAAUAUUUACCCUUACUGUUU